AUUGAACGCUGGCGGCAGGCCUAACACAUGCAAGUCGAACGAUUGGCGGACUGGUGAGUAAUGUCUGGGAAACUGCCCGAUGGCGGGGGAUCACUACUGGAAACGGUCGCUAAUACCGCAUACCAUCGGAUGUUCUCAGAUGGGAUUAGCUAGUAGGUGGGGUAACGGCUCACCUAGGCGACGAUCCCUAGCUGGUCUGAGAGGAUGACCAGCCACACUGGAACUGAGACACAGUCCAGACUCCUACGGAAGGCAGCAGUGGGGAAUAUUGCACAAUGGGCGCAAGCCUGAUGCAGCCAUGCCGCAUGUAAGAAGAAAGCCUUCGGGUUGAAAAGUACUUUCAGAAGGGAGGCGUUAAUCGCAGAAGAAGCACCGGCUAACUCCGUGCCAGCCGCCGCGGUAAUAA
rnacentral:rRNA from 1 species